rnacentral:tmRNA from 1 species
GGGGAUGCAAUGGUUUCGACGGGGAGCGGAAUGCCCGCGAUGGCGCGCCGUGCAUGCCGCAAGCACGUGAAUCCUGCGGCAAGGCAAUAUCUGCCGACUAUCAGUACGCAAUGGCCGCUUGAUCGAGCGGUCACGUCCACCGGAGGCCUUCCUGUCGGCCGAAGGAAAGGGCGUCGCUAAAGACAGGAUACAUCCCCCGGAAUCCGGGAGGGGGGUGGAAGAAAAAAACGGAUGAGCCGUUCAAGAAAUCCUGGCCGCCGGGUUUUGAACGGUGAAAUAAAAUAGACGGCCUACGCGCGUAGAAAUCACGGGGUUCUCUCUUCGGACGGGGGUUCGAUUCCCCCCAUCUCCACGA